rnacentral:lncRNA from 10 species
UAAGAUGUGGACAUCGAGCCUUCAACGUGGGUAUUUUUCUCCUGGAAUCUUAGUUUCUUCAUUUGCAAAAAGUAGACAGGAACUUCUCCCCUGCGGGGUUGCAAUGGGAAUUGGAGAAAAUAUAUUUCAAGUGCCUUGCGCGAUGCCCGGCACCGAGGCACUUGGCGGCACUCAAUAUCUGGGCGGCUGAGCCCCCCAGCCUGCACCCUCCGCAAACACAAGACGAACCGUAAGCCGCGGACGCCCUUCACCACCGCGCAGCUGCUGGCGCUGGAGCGCAAGUUCCGCCAGAAGCAGUACCUGUCCAUCGCCGAGCGCGCGGAGUUCUCCAGCUCGCUCAGCCUCACUGAGACGCAGGUGAAGAUAUGGUUCCAGAACCGCCGCGCCAAGGCAAAGAGACUACAAGAGGCAGAGCUGGAGAAGCUGAAGAUGGCCGCCAAGCCCAUGCUGCCACCGGCUGCCUUCGGCCUCUCCUUCCCUCUCGGCGGCCCCGCAGCUGUAGCGGCCGC